rnacentral:tRNA from 1 species
CGCAGGGUGGCGCAGUGGCAGCGUAGCGGGUUCAUGCCCCGAAGGUCGCCGGUUCGACUCCGGCUCCUGCAA